ACAGGUGUUGUUGGAUCAGUCCACCAAGGCUAACUCUCCUCUCUUCCUCCCCCAGCCCUACAGGUGUUGUUAGAUCAGUUCCACCAAGGCUAACUCUCCUCUCUUCCUCCCCCAGCCCUACAGGUGUUGUUAGAUCAGUCCACCAAGGCUAACUCUCCUCUCUUCCUCCCCCAGCCCUACAGGUGUUGUUAGAUCAGUUCCACCAAGGCUAUAUCUCCUCUCUUCCUCCCCCAGCCCUACAGGUGUUGUUGGAUCAGUUCCACCAAGGCUAACUCUCCUCUCUUCCUCCCCCAGCCCUACAGGUGUUGUUUAGACCAGUCCACCAAGGCUAACUCUCCUCUCUUCCUCCCCCAGCCCUACAGGUGUUGUUUAGACCAGUCCACCAAGGCUAACUCUCCUCUCUUCCUCCCCCAGCCCUACAGGUGUUGUUGGAUCAGUCCACCAAGGCUAACUCUCCUCUCUUCCUCCCCCAGCCCUACAGGUGUUGUUGGAUCAGUCCACCAAGGCUAACUCUCCUCUCUUCCUCCCCCAGCCCUACAGGUGUUGUUGGAUCAGUCCACCAAGGCUAAAUCUCCUCUCUUCCUCCCCCAGCCCUACAGGUGUUGUUGGAUCAGUCCACCAAGGCUAACUCUCCUCUCUUCCUCCCCCAGCCCUACAGGUGUUGUUAGACCAGUCCACCAAGGCUAACUCUCCUCUCUUCCUCCCCCAGCCCUACAGGUGUUGUUAGACCAGUCCACCAAGGCUAACUCUCCUCUCUUCCUCCCCCAGCCCUACAGGUGUUGUUGGAUCAGUCCACCAAGGCUAACUCUCCUCUCUUCCUCCCCCAGCCCUACAGGUGUUGUUGGAUCAGUCCACCAAGGCUAACUCUCCUCUCUUCCUCCCCCAGCCCUACAGGUGUUGUUGGAUCAGUCCACCAAGGCUAACUCUCCUCUCUUCCUCCCCCAGCCCUACAGGUGUUGUUAGACCAGUCCACCAAGGCUAACUCUCCUCUCUUCCUCCCCCAGCCCUACAGGUGUUGUUGGAUCAGUCCACCAAGGCUAACUCUCCUCUCUUCCUCCCCCAGCCCUACAGGUGUUGUUGGAUCAGUCCACCAAGGCUAACUCUCCUCUCUUCCUCCCCCAGCCCUACAGGUGUUGUUGGAUCAGUCCACCAAGGCUAACUCUCCUCUCUUCCUCCCCCAGCCCUACAGGUGUUGUUGGAUCAGUCCACCAAGGCUAACUCUCCUCUCUUCCUCCCCCAGCCCUACAGGUGUUGUUGGAUCAGUCCACCAAGGCUAACUCUCCUCUCUUCCUCCCCCAGCCCUACAGGUGUUGUUGGAUCAGUCCACCAAGGCUAACUCUCCUCUCUUCCUCCCCCAGCCCUACAGGUGUUGUUAGAUCAGUUCCACCAAGGCUAA